CCCCACAGUUUGGGAGCUUUGCCAGGCCAAAUUCUGUGCCUGCUGCACCUUCUCAGCUAGGAAGCAUUGCUCAACCUAAUUAUGUACAUUCUGCUGCAUCCUCUCAAUUUGCAAGCAUGGUUCAACCUAAUUCUAUAUCUCCUGAAUCCUCUCAGUUUGGGAGGAAGGGUCGACCUGAUUCUGUACCUCCUGCUAAUACCUCCCAGUUCAGGAGCAUGGCUGGCCCUAAUUCUGUACCUCCUGCUCAGUCCCCUCAGUUUGGGAGCAUGGCCAGACCUAAUUCUGUACCUCCU
rnacentral:lncRNA from 1 species